rnacentral:lncRNA from 1 species
GAUUUUAAGUUAAAAUUCAAACCAUUUUGAAUUCAAUUCAAAACCAACCAAAACCUAUCCCUAAUGGAUGACAAAAGAAGGGUUAGCUUCUAAUUUUCUCAUGCACAAAUUAAUUUUAUGCGGUGAAAAAAAAUGUGAGACCUUUUGGGUGGUAAAAGAGAGAGAGUCCCAUUCAUUUAGGACUCUAGGAUUUAACUAAUUAGAUUUCUUUCAAACCCAAUCCAAUUAGAUCCAAAUAAAAUAUGAUGAAUCUAAUCUAAUUAGGCUCCCAUAAUCUCAAUUAAAUAUGAUCAAAUCAAUAAAUUAAUUGAGC